UUUUUGAAAGGGCGUAUCUCAUAUUUGUUGCUCAAAUGGUUGUUAACAACAAUAAAAUUCUGUAUAGGGGACUCAAUGCUCAAUGCACAAUCAUUAAUCCACCUCAAGCCUAAUUCUCAUCAGUCUCCAAUCUUCUGAAGCAUAACGAACAAGUUCUUACAUGGUGAACAAAUUCUUACAUAGUGAAUAAAAACUUUCGGUUUUGAUCAUGCAUUAUGAACUAUAAACAAUCAGGUCAAAUAUGAAUAUUCGUUUGAUUUUUAUACUUGAUUUAUAUGUGGAUCCCACAUUUCUCCCUUUAUUAUUAUUAUUAUUUUU